GUGCCAGCAGCCGCGGUAAGACGAAGGUGGCAAGCGUUGUUCGGAAUCACUGGGCUUAAAGGGCACGCAGGCGGCCCGUCAAGCGCUUUGUGAAAUCCCUCGGCCCAACCGAGGAAUGGCUUGGCGAACUGACGGGCUUGAGGCAGGUAGGGGCGUGUGGAACUCUUGGUGGAGCGGUGAAAUGCGUAGAUAUCAAGAGGAACGCCGGUGGCGAAAGCGACACGCUGGGCCUGUCCUGACGCUGAGGUGCGAAAGCCAGGGGAGCGAACGGGAUUAGAUACCCUAGUAGUCC
rnacentral:rRNA from 1 species